UAGAGUUUUGUGUGCAAGACUAGUUGGC
rnacentral:piRNA from 1 species